GGGCCGCUAGUCUAGCCCGGCUAUGAUGUCUCGCUUACACCGAGAAUCCAAUAUAGCUUCGUGCUUGUUGGAAUCGAAGGUCGCUGGUUCAAAUCCGGCGCGGCCCACCA
rnacentral:tRNA from 1 species